rnacentral:lncRNA from 1 species
CAAGAAACAGACUAAGUUUCUAGAAGUGGUAACACAUUAUAUCUUGGUUGAACCAAUUACUGCUAAAGAGGAGAGGCAAGCAUGGAGAGGCCCAUAAUUGGGGAAGAAGGUCAGUCAUUGGAAUCAACCCUGUUUCAUGACUUUUUUCCACGUCUCUUCACCAUUACUUUUAUAAGGUUGGCUGGAAAUGAGACAGAAGAGCUUUUUCACUGGGAUAGUCUGUGCAAUACAAUACCAUGACCACAGACUACCUAAAGCAUCACCCACACUUUGAAAAACAGAGACUUAAUGGGAGAACGUGAACUCAGAAUGCAGACUGCUACUUUACAGCUCUUUGACUUUGAGCAAGAGACUCUUUUUGGUCUUCAGUCCCCUUUCUUACAGUGGGGAAAAUAAGAACUUUAUAACUGUUUGAGUGCCUGUGUCAGAAAAGAGUAAAUGAUAUAAAUUUAUGUAAGCACCAAAUCCAGUGGUUGGAACAUACCCUCUUUCCCUGAAAAUAUGACCUAGCUAGAAAAUAACCAGCCUUGAAAACAGGAGAUCAAAAAUGCCAGCCCCCCCCCCAAAAAAAAAGAAAAGAAAAAGGGCUGGGGAUUUAGCUCAGUGGUGCCACGCCUGCCUGGCAAGCACAAGGUCCCGAGUUAGAUCCCCACUACUGGGGGAAAAAAAAUGCCAGGCCCAAUCAGCCUUAUCCUUGCCUUACCUGCCCGCUCCGGUCCCACCCCAAGAAAUAGGAUGCAGCUCUGAGAAAGGAAGAAAAUUAGAUUGCCAGCUAUCCUAAUGAGUCCCAAAGGCACCUCAAACUCAACAUGCUUCAAACCCAAAAUAUCAAUGACCUCCAAACCUGAUCCUCAGCCACCUUCCCUAUUGCAAUGAACAGCAUCAUCAUCUAUCCCGUGAAGCAAGCCAGAAACCUCACAGACAUCUUGAAACCUUCUCUGCCCCUGAACUUCAUGUGCAUGGAGUCUGCUCAAAUUUUACCUUUGAAGAAUCUCACCGUCAUCACCCUGGUCAUCAUCAUAAGUGUACCAGUGCACAGGUUUGGAAAUGGGUUCUGGAGUCAAGACUACUUGGUUUACAAUAUUAAUACCGUAUUUUUUCUUUUUUCUUUAUAGUGCUGGGGAUUGAAGCCAAGUCUCACACGUGCCAGGCAAUGCUCUACCUCUGAUCCACACCCUUGACUCCUAAAUCUAAAAAUUUAUUAACUGUAUAACCUUGGGCAAGGUACAUAACCAUUCUGUGCCUUAGUUUUCUCCUUUGUACUGUGUAGUAGCAUUGAGUACCUAUCCACAUCCUGCCUUUGGGAUAGUUUAAAGGUAGAAAGUGCUUAAAAGUACCUUGUAUAUAAUAAACGCUCAAUAGAGGUUAGUUGCUCUUUUUGUUAUUGUCACUUCAGUAUAGAAAUGUUCAAACAUAUGGCUCCAAUCGAAAGAUUUUUUUCAUUCCCUGUGUGUUGAUAGGUAAAUCUAAAGACUUAAUCAGAU